AUUGAACGCUGGCGGUAUGCUUAACACAUGCAAGUCGAACGGCAGCAUAAUCUUCGGAUUGAUGGCGAGUGGCGGACGGGUGAGUAAUAUAUAGGAAUCUGCCUUGUAGUGGGGGAUAACUAUCCGAAAGGAUAGCUAAUACCGCAUAAUGAUUACGGUUUAAAGCAGGGGAUCUUCGGACCUUGCGCUACAAGUUGAGCCUAUACAAGAUUAGCUAGUUGGUGAGGUAAAGGCUCACCAAGGCGACGAUCUUUAGCUGGUCUGAGAGGAUGAUCAGCCACACUGGGACUGAGACACGGCCCAGACUCUUACGGGAGGCAGCAGUGGGGAAUAUUGGACAAUGGGCGCAAGCCUGAUCCAGCAAUACCGCGUGUGUGAAGAAGGCCUUCGGGUUGUAAAGCACUUUUGUUAGGGAGGAUGGUGAUUUUGGCGAAUACCCAAAGUCAUUGACGUUACCUAAAGAAUCAGCACCGGCUAACUCCGUGCCAGCCGCCGCGGUAAAAC
rnacentral:rRNA from 1 species